rnacentral:rRNA from 1 species
UACAGAGGGGGCAAGCGUUUAUUCGGAAUUAUUGGGCGUAAAGGGCGCGUAGGCGGCUUGGCAAGUGGAUGGUGAAAUCCCUCGGCUUAACCGAGGAACUGCCGUCCAAACUGCUUCGCUUGAGACCGGGAGAGGUGAGUGGAAUUCCCAGUGUAGCGGUGAAAUGCGUAGAUAUUGGGAGGAACACCAGUGGCGAAGGCGGCUCACUGGACCGGUACUGACGCUGAUGCGCGAAGGCCAGGGGAGCAAACGGGG